UACCCGCGCCCCGAGUGGUGGUCGAUAUUAUUGAGCCUAAAACGUCCGUAGCCGGUCUUCUAAAUCCUUGGGUAAAUCGGGCAGCUUAACUGUCCGAAGUCCGGGGAGACUGGAAGACUUGGGACCGGGGGAGGUCAGAGGUACUUCUGGGGUAGGGGUAAAAUCCUGUAAUCCUGGAAGGACCACCGGUGGCGAAGGCGUCUGACUAGAACGGAUCCGGCGGUGAGGGACGAAGCCCUGGGGCGCAAACAGG
rnacentral:rRNA from 1 species